AGAGUUUGAUCAUGGCUCAGAUUGAACGCUGGCGGCAUGCCUAACACAUGCAAGUCGAACGGCAGCAUGAGGUGUAGCAAUACACCUUGAUGGCGAGUGGCGGACGGGUGAGGAAUGCAUCGGAAUCUGCCCAGUCGUGGGGGACAACGCAGGGAAACUUGCGCUAAUACCGCAUACGACCUUCGGGUGAAAGCAGGGGAUCUUCGGACCUUGCGCGAUUGGAUGAGCCGAUGCCGGAUUAGCUAGUUGGCGGGGUAAUGGCCCACCAAGGCGACGAUCCGUAGCUGGUCUGAGAGGAUGAUCAGCCACACUGGGACUGAGACACGGCCCAGACUCCUACGGGAGGCAGCAGUGGGGAAUAUUGGACAAUGGGGGCAACCCUGAUCCAGCAAUGCCGCGUGUGUGAAGAAGGCCUUCGGGUCGUAAAGCACUUUUAUCGGGAACGAAACAUUGUCGGCUAAUACCCGGCAAGACUGACGGUACCCGAGGAAUAAGCACCGGCUAACUCCGUGCCAGCAGCCGCGGUAAUAC
rnacentral:rRNA from 1 species